UAUGAUACAAACUACAUUAUUUCUGUUAUAAAAUAUUCGAGAUAUCUUUUAAAUGUUAUUUCAAUUACAAUUUCAAAUAAUUGUUCAAAUGUACAAUUCCAAUGAAAAUUUGAUAGCGUGUUUUGAUUACAUGAUUCAUGUCUGAUAAGUCACGAGUAUUUAAUAUACUUAUACUUAAAAAUUUUAAAUAAAGAUAUACAACGGUGUAUAUUACGAAAGUUUGAUAUUGCGAUAAAAGAUUUCUAAAAAGAUUGCGUUAACCAUAUUUUCGGUUUAAUUGUACAUCAGCUCAGCGUAAUAUUGGAAGGGACUUAUAAAUAUAAUUUUGUUCUUGUUAGUAUAACAAAUUACAACGAAGAAAGUAAAGUUGCAAGAAUUAUGGCUACUUGGGAUGGUUCUUAUUCGGGACCAGAUGACCAAAAUUAUUGUCAAAUGUAUCCUGAUCAAAGCGUACCUGGGCCUGCAACAGGAAAUUGGACAUUAUUUUCUGAUAAUAUAAAUAACGAUUAUUUACAACCUAGUCGUGAGUUCUACGUACAAAAUGAACCUAUAUUUGAACAGAAUAGUCCAAAUGCUUUCUAUCAUUCGAACACGAAUAAUGUUAUGCCAAGUUUGUUGACUACAACCAAUAAUUAUCAUGGGCAUGUAAUAAACCCAGUAGGAAAUACACAAGUAUUAAAUAGCGAGGAGUACUUCCCAAAUGUUGUUAAAUCUCAACAAGGCUACGUAUCUAAUGACUCUUGGAAAUAUGACAACAAUCUAACGAAGGACGAAGAUAAAUAUGUCUCUACAAAGAGAAUUAAGGAAUCUUCAGGCAGCGCAGUCAAUCACUCAAAAUUACAUGUCAUGGCUGAAGAGUUUGUGCCAAGUAAUAGAGGAUAUGGUGAUAGAAGUAAAAAUAAAGAAUUAGAGAAUACAAAAUCUACUAACGAUGCAAAUGAUUGUGUCAAGGAUAAUGGCAUGAUAUCAGAUAAAUACUUCUUUUGUAAUGAGAGUAGGCAUGAAGGUAAAUAUAAUAACAAAAAAUGUUCUAAUUAUAAACACAAAGAAAGACAUCAGGAUCAGUGUUACAAAAAAGAUGCAUAUACAAAUUCCUAUCAACAGCAUGUCAAAACUUCUCAUAAACUUCAAGGUAAUAAAUACUUUACUAAUAAGUAUUAUGCAGGAAAAUCACAAGUAAAUUCAAAAGUUAUAAAUGAAAAUGCAUUGGAUCAAUGUUCAAUGACUAAUAGUGCUACAUGUAAUAAUAAAAAUGAUCCUGUAAUAAAUUUGAAUAAAGGAGAAUCAUCAUCAAGUAUCAAUGUAUGUUCAAAUAAAAAUAAAAAUUUUUCGAAUGAGGUUAAUGAUAAAAGAACUAUCAUUGGUGAUAAUAAUGUACAAGGUGAUAGCAUACAGCAGCCCAAAAAUUCGAUGAAGGAAUUUACUUACUAUAAUCCUGGCUUCAAACAGACCUACAAUAAUCAUAGAAAUUUAAGAAAAUAUCAGUAUAAUGAUAGAUAUAACAGGGAAGAAAAUUUUUAUAAAGAAAAGCGACAUCACUAUCCAGGAUAUGGUAGAGAAAAUUAUAAUAAAGAGGAUAAAUUUAAAGUAAAAAAUGACAUGUGCAGUAAUGGAGAAUGUAACGAAUAUAAAGAAUGUUUUAAUGAGAGAACUGGAUUAGAAGCAAAAGAGAUAAAAGAGAAAAGGCACAAUUAUCAAGGAUAUAAUGGAUUUAAAGAACAUCAUAAGGAAGCUAAACUAGAGAUCUUUAAAGAGAAAGAUAAAGGUAAAUAUUAUGUAUCUGAAAAUAAAGAGAAAGGAAAUGAACAUUGGAGAAAUAAAAGGGAAAUUAACGAAAGAAAUAAUAUUCAGAAACGGGGACAAAAUAGAAAGUCACCAGUUGAUGAUGAUUCAAGUCAAAGAGAAAGACUAGCAGAACAGUUGAAUAGAGGACAAUUAGAAUGUUUAGUAUGUUGUGAGUAUAUUAAACAGAGUGAUUACGUUUGGUCAUGUUCUAACUGCUAUCAUGUUUUGCAUCUGAAAUGUAUUAAAAAAUGGGCAAAGUCAUCACAAUCUGAAAAUGGCUGGAGAUGUCCAGCAUGCCAAAAUGUUAACUUAGUAAUUCCUGAAGAUUACUUUUGCUUUUGUGGCAAAACAAGAGUACCUGAAUGGAAUCGUAGAGAUGUUGCACAUUCUUGUGGUGAAAUUUGCGCUAGAACAUUAUCCAAAAAUAGUUGUCCGCAUAAGUGCACUCUUCUAUGUCAUCCUGGAUCUUGUCCACAAUGUACAGCAAUGGUAACAAAAUAUUGUGGCUGCGGUAAAACUCAGCAAACAGUACAGUGUAGUACUCAGAAAUUAUUGCUGUGCGAGUCUACAUGUGGUAAAAAUUUAAAAUGUGGCCGGCAUAAAUGUCAAAGUAAAUGCCAUCAUGGAGAAUGUGCAAAUUGCGAAGAAACAAUAACGCAAAAGUGUUAUUGUGGCAAAAGUACAAAAGAAAUAACUUGCCAGAGUAAUAUUUCGUUUACAUAUUCUUGUGGAACUAUUUGCGGUAAAUUGUUAGAAUGUGGUAAUCACACUUGUACAAAAUUGUGUCAUGCGGAUGCUUGCGAAUCCUGUUCUUUAACUCCUGACAAAAUUACAACUUGCUGCUGUGGGCAAACACCAUUAAUAGAUAAGAGACAAACUUGCUUAGAUUCAGUCCCGGUCUGCGACAAAAUAUGUUUGAAAAAUUUGAAAUGCGGGCAACCUAAUAAUCCUCAUAAGUGUAAAGCGAAGUGUCAUGUAGGAGAUUGUCCUGUUUGUGACUUAAUUACCAAUGUUAGAUGCCGCUGCGGAAAUAUGGAUAGGGAAAUAGCCUGUAAAGAUUUGAUAUCAAAAGCUGACGAUGCACGGUGUGAAAAGCGGUGUAUAAAAAAAAGAUCUUGUGGGAAGCACAAAUGUAACCAACUGUGUUGUAUAGAGAUAGAACAUAUUUGUCCAUUAAUAUGUUCUAAAACUUUAAGCUGUGGGAGGCAUAAAUGUGAACAAAGCUGUCAUAAAGGAAGGUGUCAACCUUGUUGGCGAAGUAGUUUUGAUGAAUUAUACUGUGAAUGCGGGGCUUCUGUGAUAUAUCCUCCCGUUCCUUGUGGGACAAGAAGACCUACAUGCGACAGGCCUUGCUCUCGACAGCACUCUUGUGGCCACGAAAUAUUACAUAAUUGCCAUAGUGAAUUAAACUGUCCGCCUUGUACCGUUCUUACUCAAAGAUGGUGUCAUGGCAAACAUGAGUUACGAAAGGCUGUACCGUGCUAUGUUAACGAAAUUUCAUGUGGUUUGUCAUGUAACAAGCCCAUAUCCUGUGGCCGACAUAAAUGCAUUACUAUUUGUCAUUCUGGGCCAUGUGAAAAACCAGGACAACAAUGUUCUCAGCCUUGUACUGUUCAAAGGGAACUGUGUGGACACAUCUGUGCUGCUCCGUGUCACGAGGGUAAAUGUCCAGACACACCUUGCAAGGAGAUGGUUAAGGUGACGUGUCAGUGUGGGCAUAGGACUAUGUCGCGUGUUUGCGCCGAAAAUUCUAAAGAAUAUCAGAGAAUAGCAAGUAGCAUAUUAGCUAGUAAAAUGGCUGAUAUGCAAUUAGGUCAUUCUAUUAAUUUGGAAGAAGUAUUUGGUCAAGGAGCAAAGAAGCAGAAUCAGUUAAAAACUUUAGAAUGCAAUGAUGAAUGUAAAGUAAUAGAACGAAAUAGAAGAUUGGCGUUGGGUUUGCAAAUUGUAAAUCCAGAUUUAAGUGGAAAAUUAAUGCCUAGAUACAGUGAUUUUAUGAAACAGUGGGCUAAAAGGGAUCCUCAUUUUUGUCAGAUGGUUCAUGACAAAUUAACCGAGUUGGUUCAAUUAGCAAAAACCUCUAAACAAAAAUCACGCAGUUAUUCCUUUGAUAGCAUGAACAAAGAUAAACGUCAUUUUAUUCACGAGUCUUGUGAACAUUUUGGUUGCGAGAGCCAGGCGUACGAUCAGGAGCCAAAAAGAAAUGUUGUUGCGACUGCUGUAAAAGAUAAGUGUUGGUUACCUAGUUAUAGUUUAUUAGAGAUUGUACAACGGGAAAAUGGUCAGAGAAAAGUUCCAGGUCCAAUGUUAAAUACUACAAAGGCUAAUGGGUCCGUGAAGACAAUAUUAUCACUGCCUGCGAAAAAGAUUCAAAAGCCAGAAACAACAUUAAGCAUAAAAACAUCAGAACCAGAAAUAGAUUAUUUUGAUUAUAAGGGUUAAGAUUACUAUCUCCGUAUUACAUAAAGUGUAAGUAAUAUAGGCGAUAAAAUUAAUAUCAUAAUUAGAAAAAAUGCUGUUAAAUAUAACGGAUUAACUAAACAUUUUAAUAAUAUUUAUUCUUUGUAACACACACACAGACACGCACGCACACACGCACGCACGCACGCACGCUACCAUAAUAUAUGUAUACAUAUAUGUAGAGUGACCCAGAUAAAUGGGAUCACCUAAGCAUUUGCCUUAUUUAUUACUGUUGUAUGAAAAAACUUUUCAGUACAAUUCAAGGGCCACAUGCAACGGUGAAAACAGCUCUAUUUCAUGGUCAUUUUUCUUACAAGAUUACAAGUGGUGGACAUCACCAUUUUUCUUUUUUUUUUUAUUUUAUAAAUAGAACUGUACAUAUUUAUUUUUCCAUAUCCUUAUAGAGCACGAAAAAAAAAAAAAAAACAAAUUCAAUGACCUUAAUAGCUAUCUUCAUGCCGUUUCCAUCACUUAAUCUUCAGAUACUUGUGUUUGAAUUGUACAUAAGUGAUAUUUAAUUAUGUUCAAUCGUGUCAAUGGUAAAAUAAAUGAAUGCAAAAUUUCCGACUCCAGAGCAGAAUUUUCUAACUUUUAAGUUUAACUUAUUAGUGCCACACGUCAUAACUGUUAUAAGACAAAUUUUUAAAGUUACUACAUGGUAUAAGAGUGAAUGUCUUCGAUUAAAAAAUUUUGAUUACAAAUAAUCAUUAUAAAUGAUUAAGAUUUUCUUUGCUACCGUUAAUCAUUACCGAUGACGAGAAUUUUAUUUUGAUUACGAAUAAUCUGUAAAUAGUUCAUCGCAAGUAGCCGUCAUUUAUAAACAGAGAACGUUAAAAUCAGCAUCGUGUUAAAUUUUUUAGUCGGUGUAGUAAUUACGUUGGGCCACGAAGGUUCAUAAAGUGAUGUAGUAAACAACUUGAAGUUUGUACGGCGUGCUUCUUUGGCCUGAAAUUGGCGCAGUAAAGAUCCGAAGUCCGUCACGAUUCUGGCCAAUAGGGCCCAUAUAUAUGAAAAUUGAGCUCUUCUAUUGGCGCAAUGUAUUGCGGAGUGAAAUCGAGGGUGCUUAUUGGCGCAGAAUAUCGUCAAAGUCAAAUCGAGCGCGCCUAUUGGUGCGAAAUAUUGGAAAGUCAUAGUUACUCGGAGAAACGUACCGUGGGGUGAUGUUGUACUCUUGAUAAUCGCGGAGCGAAAAUUCGUACCGUCGAGCGUUAUCCUGUCAUUAUUAGUACUUUUAUUUCAAGUUUACCAGCAUUUCUACACUUCUAUCUGCUUCAUUCAAAUAAUUAUUGGCUGGUCACGUGACUGAAAGGAUAGAGGUUCAUCGCAUCACGGACGACGCCACAGGCAAUUAAUAAUCGAUAAUUCGAACUGAUACGAAAUGGACGCUACAGAUGAUUAUUAAUAAUCGAGUCGUUGAUUUCUCAUGCAGAUUUAGUAAUGAUCGAGGUAUUAGAACAAAGCAGACGUACGUAUGUAGACGAUUAUUUUUUCUUCUUAUUGAAUCAAUGAAUUGAAUCAAUAUUUGCUACGUAAUUGCUAUACAACUUACGAUUGGUAUAUAAUGACAUCAUUAUUUUAUAGAUAGUUGCAUAAUUUGUUGAAAAUAUUAAGACGAAGGAAAAACGCUUAAAGAAAUGAAAUUUUGAAACUGUUUCGGGUAUAUAGAUUAAACGGAUGUACUUAUUAAGUGAUUAAUGUUUUUAUAUCAAUAUAUAGAAAAUUAUACGUAUCAUUUGAUUGUUAUUAGAAAAAAAGUCUGCUGCAAAAUUAUUAUAUUUUUAUGUAUUCGAAUGAGAAAAUUGGUUUAUUAUUAUUUAUUAUCGGUAUAUUAAAGGGUCUGAACAAGAUAUAUUGAAAUAGGUUUCUGUGCAAGAUUAAAUAUACACUCUAAUCACUAAUCACUUCGGACAUGUCUAUGUAAGGAUAUUUUAAUUUAUUAGAAGCAUCGUCAUCGAGUCUUUAUAAGGUGGAACAUAAUAUAUUAGCAAAUACCAUAUUUCACAUUCCGAUAACGAACAUUCAGAAUUGAAUUUAUCCUGAUGAAAUGAUAUUAUAUUUUAAAAGAUUAAUAAAGAUUGGGAGAUAUAUUAGAAAAUAUCUUGCAAUACAUAAACGGUGUUUGAAAUAUAACACAGUAUAUCCCAUUUUCUUAAUAUGUAUAUGUAAUAGCUGUUUGUUGGUGAGAAAUGAAUAAUAAUCGGUAUAUAGUGUA